rnacentral:rRNA from 1 species
CAGGGAAUCUUCCACAAUGGGCGAAAGCCUGAUGGAGCAACGCCGCGUGUGUGAUGAAGGCUUCCGGGUCGUAAAGCACUGUUGUAUGGGAAGAACAGCUAGAAUAGGAAAUGAUUUUAGUUUGACGGUACCAUACCAGAAAGGGACGGCUAAAUACGUGCCAG